UGCCACAAACGUGUAAAGGGCUUCUCAUCUUUUUCCCAAAUUUUAUUUAAUCCAAUUAGAUGGAAAUGAGAAAUACCUAGCGUAGGUCUGUUGUACCUACAACGUUUAAAGGGCGUAUGCGCUUUAUGACGUAUGACGUAAAUUGUUACAUUGCUGCUGGGCUUCAUAAUUUUGUAAGCAAAUUCAAUCAAGUAACAAGCAUUGGAACUUCAUAUCAUACGUUUAAUAAUCUUUAUGAUAAUGACAACAUCAUUGCUGCAAUUCUUCACCCUUUAUUUAAAACUGACUGGCCUUGGAUUAGGCAAGAAAGGAAUAAAGCAAAAAAGGAGGAAAUUUUAAAUUUAAUAAAUACCUUAAUACCUCAAAGUGAAUCCCAGACGAAUGAAUCAUGCUCAAAACAACAUCACUUGAUGUAGUUGGAUUUUUGACCUAAAGCGCCAAAAUAUUCUGGAUAAUGAACUUAUAGAAAACUUUAUCAAAUCUAAUAACAACACUUUUUCUUUAUAUAACGAUUUUCCAAAAUUAAAAUUACUCUUUAUUAAAUAUAAUGUUGUUCUAACAUCAAGUGCUCCCUUAGAGUGCUUGUUCAGUCUAGGUAAGCUCAUUUUUGGAGAUAAACGAGCACGUCUCCUAGAUAAUAACUUUAAAAUUAAUUUGUUGUUAAAAGCAAAUAAACAUUUAUUAGAUUCUAAUUUUUAUGAAAAAUAAAUGUUUUUUUUUCAAUGCAAAUAUAUAUUUUUAUAUUCGAUGUAAAUAUUUAAUUUUGCGAUAUUUUUUUAUAUAAAUAAAU